UUACAAUAUUAGAGUAUGAUUGUUAUUUGGGUAAUUUAGUUCAAACUGUGAUACGACGACCCGUCUCCUUUACAAAGAUCGAACCCUAGCCGCGUUUCUUCCUUAACCAGGUUUCGACCCUCUUCCACGAUCACCACCACCACACACAGUUUCAGACUGAUCAACAGGUUGCAAAGGCUCACAGGUGUCUACUAUCCAUAAAUGUUCUCCAUAUAGUUUACAAGUAUAUGUAGGGGAAACUUGCAAGGAAAUGUCAAGCUUGGUCUUGUUUGGAAGCUAACAAAAGGCUGGCUUCCCUGUUGCUAAGAUACAGAUAGGUUUUUUUGCCAGAUGAAGUACAAGUAGGCACGUUAGAAAAACCGGUGUAGUUGCCAUCCAACUUUGAAGAACAUAUUUUUGCAACAAAGUCAAAUUGUUCAUGUUUUUGUACAAAAGGCUGUGCAGCAUAAUCUUCAACUGGCAUCCACUGAAUGAAAAAACGACCCACAUUAGUUAAAAGAAAACAAUUUUUUUUUUACCUUGACAGCAGUAUGAACAAGAUUUGAAUGCAGUAUGGGCAAUUUGAGCCAGACCCCUUUCUUUCUCUGCAAAAAACGCAUUGGAAAUAAUUACUGAAGCUUCCAAUAUGUUCAUUGAAGAAGAGCUCAGAAUCCACAGGCUCCUGAUUCUCCAAGCUUACGACAACUCCUCCAUAAUGAUCCUCAACAACACUAAGCAAUUCAACCCUUUCAGCUUCCAUCUCUUCUUAUUGUAACCUAAAACUGGAACAGAUUAGCAGCAAAACGUGGUUGCUAACAAAAAACGUUGAGCUUCAACGAUUAGAGAAGCCAUUUAUAAUCUGCGAAAAGAUAUCAUAUCAAGAAUGAUGCUUGGAUCCAGCCCUACACCUCCUCGUUUGGUUAUGCCACAGAUGUGCCCUUGCCUAACAGAGAUGGAAACGGCAGAGUUCAUUUGUGAUUCCUCUUCUGACGUUGCAUCCACAAUAUAGUGCCUCCCAAUCUAGAAAGGAGAGAUGGUAAGAAACUAUCACAAUUAUGGUCAAAAAGAGAAGAUAACACAUGCUAUACCUUAGUUAGUGUAACUAUAACAGGGACUCAACUUCUGGUUGCUCAUCGUUGGAUGCUCCAGCAGCAACUUGGACUCUUGGAAUACCUGUAUUGCACAAAGCAGCCUAAAAGAACAAUAGUUAUUAGCUGCAUUGGGGUUUUUCCAGUUAAUUUUGAAAAUAUAUUUGCAUAUGGUAUUAAGGAAAUCCAUGAGAAAAAUCUCAUGAAACUGACAGCAAUUUGGUCUGUGAUAUUAUAAAGAUUACAGAAAACAGCUAGUAAAAGGAUAGUUUUAACUUUA